rnacentral:rRNA from 1 species
CAGUAGCCGCGGUAAUACGUAGGUGGCAAGCGUUGUCCGGAAUUAUUGGGCGUAAAGGGCUCGCAGGCGGUUUCUUAAGUCUGAUGUGAAAGCCCCCGGCUCAACCGGGGAGGGUCAUUGGAAACUGUUAAACUUGAGUGCAGGAGAGAAAAGUGGAAUUCCUAGUGUAGCGGUGAAAUGCGUAGAGAUUAGGAGGAACACCAGUGGCGAAGGCGGCUUUUUGGCCUGUAACUGACACUGAGGCGCGAAAGCGUGGGGAGCAAACAGGAUUAGAUACCCCCGUAGUCCCUGUCUCUUAUAC